GACCGCACCGGUGGCCUAGUGGUUAAAGCGUCCGCCUCGGAUGUGGGAGGUUGAUGGAUCAAACCCCGGUCGAGUCA